CCCGCCCACACACGUGCGUGCGCGUGCUCCGUUGGCCUCCCGGGACUGUCUGACCGCCCUUAAGGCCCAGCCCUGGGAAGCCCGGGCGUGGUGUGUGCCGGGCUGAGCCACAGUGGGGGCCUGGUCAGCCGAACUCCAGCAGGGCGGUCCUGGGAGAGGCCGACAUGCGCCCAGGACGUCAGAUCAGAGGCUUGAAGAGGCCUGUGGGAGCGUCCAGUUUCGGGCCCAGAGGCCCCAGCACGGGCACUGGCUCCCACGCACGCGCGGAGCUCGGCUCUGCGUCGCCCCCGUGUGGCCAGAGGAAGCAGCGCCGGCAGGACUCCUGCAAGCUGCACGCGACCCAGGCACGCGCGGCCACCUAGGCGAUCGGCUCUCCAGACGCCGCCCACUUCCGAAGACAGUCCGGAGAACGGGCUGAGGUUGCCAUGGAGACGGCUGAACAGCCGUAGCGCUUUGCUCUGGCUGCCGCGAAUCCUACUCUGGACAGAGAGGACUGGAGUGUGGUUACCCAGCAGCUUCUUUCUGCAUCGUCCUCACUCUGUAACCUAAAUGGAUGAGGAUUGAUCCCUCCCCAAAGCAGCAAGGCCUUGAAGGACAAAUGAGCCUCUCCUGAAAGCCUACUGUGUGAAGGCAAAGAUCAAUAAUACUAGGAGUCCUCUCAUUCCCAGUUUAUGUGUCCCUGCCUUCAGAGGCUGGAGUUACACGUGGGCCACCAAGUCCACCUGGCAUUUCUAUGGGAUCCAUGGGAAUCCUGGUUUUCAGGCUUGAGUGGAGAAUGAAGGUUAAGGAAUCUGAAGAACACUGGACAAAUGAGACAACUGAAGAAAAGGGACAAAUCAUCUACCCCAGGAAACAGAGUGAAAUGGCGUAUGGGUAUAUAUUAUCUAAAAAAUUUUAUGUCUUCCUAAAUGUUUGUUUCUGCUCUUCUCUAAAGAUUUAACACUAUUGGUCUUCUAAUAGUCCCAGUUCAAUUAAAAUUUAAAGCUGACUUUGGAGUUGGAAAAUGGCUCUCUCCUUCUUUAAACUCAAGCAUGUUGUUAAAAGGAAAAUGCAAACUCCCUGUAUCAUGCCAGAAGAAAAGAGCCAUCUUCUGCUAUGGGACAGGAGAAAAGCCAAAUUAAUUAAGGGACUAUUCUAUUACUAAUCUCAACUCUUUGGUUCUAUUCUGAUUCUUUAAACUUUUCUUAAAGUAUGAAUUUUAUAUCAAAAUUUACAACACCUAUAUAUAUAUAUAUAUAUAUAUAUAUACAUUUUAAACUUUGUUAAGAUAUGAAUGGUCAUAUAGAGUACUAACUAAUUCUAGAAAGAAAACAGGCUUUAAUUAGCUACAUAUAUAUGUCUUUGUCUUUGUGUUCAAGUCUCUUAUCAGUUUUCUGCAGGAAGUCACGGCCAGGCCUAACAUCAACUGAAGUCUCCAGGAAGAAGAUGGGGCCCCACAACAACAACAAUUCCACGUGGACAAUAAUAAUAUCACUAAGCUGACAAACAUCAUCUACAGAUCAGCUUUGAACUACAAAGUGCUCAGAGCAAUUUUGAGAUGGCUAGCUGAGAUGAUCCAGUCUCAAAGACUACUUGAAUAAGGACUUGAGAUAAACCCUGAACAUCAGGCUCUCUAGAACUGGUGGCACAGUCUGACUCACUGAGUCAGAAUGCAGCUCAUUUUCAUCUUCACCUCAUUUCAUUUCCCUGCCAGCUGUGAUACCUGCAGGGACUCCCCUAACACACCAAGAACCUCUAGUCUCCUGCCUCUAAUCUUGCCUUAGGUAAGCUGGGAUUUCAGGUGUGAACCCACCACACUGUAGCUCAAGUCUGCAGGCUGCAGCUGGCCUGAGAGACACACUAGGAAGCUCUUCUUAGCUCCAUUUUAGAAUCUUUUUUAAAGUUUUCUCAAUUUUUAGGUGCAAAGUCUUGCUCCACAUUGGGUGCCAUUUUUAAUUGGAAGUUUUCCUGUGUUCCUGCCUGGUCCUGCAGCCCCACAGCCACUUAUAAAAUAAUUACUCAGAGACUUAUAUUAAUUAUAACUGCUCGGCCAUUAGCUCAGGCUUAUUAUUGACUAGCUCUUGCAUUUAACCCAUAAUUCUUACCUAUGUUUAGCCCUGUGGCUUGGUACCUUUUCUCAGUUCUGUCUUGUCAUCUUGCUUCCUCUGUUUCUGGCUGGUGACUCAGCCCUCCUCUUCCCAGAAUUCGCCUCUCUGCUUGCCCUGCCUAUACUUCCUGCCUGGUUACUGGCCGUUCAGCGUUUUUAUUUACCAACCAAUCAGAGCAACACAUAUUCAUAGCAUACAGAAUGACAUCCCACAGCACUACUGUUUAUCUGGAGUCACUGUACCCACUGAAAGUGAUCCUGAGCCUUUAGGGGUAUUUAUUAUCUAGAUUAGGUUAGUUCUACUCUUCCCAGCUUCCAGAGUUUUGCCUGGGACAGUUAAGCUGCUUGAUAAAUAUUCUAAGUGUGAUAAUGUACAAACGAUAGCACCAUGUAAUAGGAAUGUAACAAACACCCUUAGAGAAUGUAGUAUAAUGGUUAAUUUUGAUUAUCUGCUAGUUUGGAUGCAGAAAUACUUAGCAGGACAUAUCCCUGAGUGUAUCUUUGAGAAUGUGGCCAGAGAGAGUCAUGAGGACUCUGGACUGAUGAGUGGUUAAUGCCAUUGAUGGACCAAUAGCAUGAUGCCCUUAUUGGGAUGUGGUGGAAAGUGCAAUGUGGGAUCUGAUUGGAGAAAGUAGGUCAUGGGGAAUGUGUCCUUGGGGGGUAUUUCUGUCCCUGCUUCCUUCUCAUUACUGAGCAAGGUGUGAACCUCUACAGCACCUCUCUGAGUGUGUCUGUGAGGCCAUUUUCAGAGGAGGACUCUGGUGUAGUGAAUGCUUUACUUCACUGAUGAAUUUACAACUUGGACAGCUUAUUGGGAAGUGCUGCAAUGGUGGAAAGUGGAGUCUGGUUAGAGAAAGGUUGCUAAUGGUGUUUCCAGGGGGAAACUUUCCUGAGGCUUCAUUCCCUCUGUCUCUGGCUGUCCUGUCCUGUGAGAUGUCUUUCUGUAUGCUGUGAAUAUGUAUUGCUCUGACUGGUUGAUAAACAAAGCCAUUUGGCCUAUGGCAAGGCAGCUUAGAGGCAGGCAGGAAAUACAAGCAGAUAGAGAGGAAGAAGAAAGGAGAGAAGAGAGAGAUGCCAGCCUGCCGCCCAAGGAACAACAUGCCAGCAGACUAGUAAGUCACGGAGCACGUGGCAAACCAUAGAUUAAUAGAAAUGGGUUAAUUUAAGAUAUAAGAGCUAUCUGGCAAGAGGCCUGCCAUAGACUAUAGAGUUUUUAAAAUUAAUUUAUUUAUAUUAUGUUUAUGAGGGCUCUAUCUGCAUGUACAAAUUUAUGCCAGAAGAGGGCAUCAGAUCCCACUAUAAAUGGUUGUGAGCCACCAUGUGGUUGCUGAGAAUUGAACUCAGGACCUCUGGAAGAGCUGCCAGUGCUCUUAACUGCUGAGCCAUCUCUCUAAGCAGACUAUACAGCUUGUAAAUAAUGUAAGCCUCUGUGUAUUUACUUGGGACCCAGCAGCUGUGGGACAGGGUGGGACACAGGAAAACUUCUGACUACAGUCAUGAGUUGAACUGUCCUCCUCACCCCGGAGGACUGGACCAUCUGAUGCCAUGAGCCAAAGAAGUCCUUCCUUCCUCAUUAUGACAUGUAUUUUGCCACAAUCAUGUGCAAAAUUUGAAUAGUAGAUCAUGUUAAAACAAAAAAAUCAAGAAGAGCCAGUAUGACAGCCAAUGCCUAUAAUUCUGGUAUUUGAGAAACUGAGGCUGUAGGACUGCUGCUAGUUUGACUAGCCUGGGCUACAUAAUGAAUUCUAGACCAUCCUAGGCUAGAGCAUGAGAUCCUACCUCAAAACAAACAACAGAAACAGAUGAGAAAUACUUUUUUUUUCUUUUUUGGUUUUUUGAGACAGGGUUUCUCUGUGUAGCUUUGUGCCUUUCCUGGAACUCACUCUGUAGCCCAGGCUGGCCUCGAACUCACAGAGUCCACCUACCUCUGACUCCUGAGCGCUGGGAUUAAAGUCAUGUGCCACCACCACCCGGUUUCACUUUUUUUUCUUUUGUGUUUGUUUUGAGACAUGGUCUUACUAUGUAGCCUUGGCUGUUCUGGAACUUACUUUGUAUACUAGCCUUACUUUGUACGCUAUCUUUUAACUCACAGCCUUUCUCCUGCCUCUGCCUCCCAAGUGCUAGUAUUACAGGUGCGCACCACCAUGAUUAAUUAUAAAAUUUUAAUAAUAAGCUGGGCAUAGUGGAACCUUUAAUCCCAGUACUGGGUAUGCAGAGGCAAGCAGAGAUUUAUGAAUUCAAGGCCAGCCUUGUGAUAUUUUAUUUGUAUGUUAAUAAAUAAAGUUAGCUUGGAGAUCACAGGAAAUAGCAAGCCAUUUUAAGUAAACACAAAAGUCAGGCAGUGGUAGCACAUGCCCUUAAUCUGAUCCCUUGGCAGACAGGGUCUCUGUGUGUUCAAGGCCAUACUAGGGAACAGAGCCAAGUGUGGUGACACAGGCCUUUAAUCCCAGUACCAACCAUAGAGAUCUGGAGGUCUGUAUAGACAGGCAGUGACAAAGAAGUGAGGUAGCUGGGCUAAGAGCCAAUGAGAGGGCAGAACAGCAAGGCAAUAAAAGCCUGGGUAGACAGGAAGUCGUGGCAUUUUGGAAGUUGCAGAGCUGGUAAGGUAAGGUUGGUUGGUGGCUCUCACUAUUUCCCUGAUCUCUAAGGCUUUCAUCCCUAUAUUUGGCUCCGUGUUUUUUAUUUAAUAAGACCUUUAGAAAUUCAUCUACACAGCCCAGUCUACAUAGUGAGUCCCAAGUCAGCCAGAUCUAUAUAGUAGUACCAUGCCUCAAAAAAUCUUUUUUUUUUUUUUUU